UCUGUCUCGUGAGCAAAUUUCUUUGUCUCUCUAGGCCUUGGUUUCCACAGUUUAUGACAAAGAAGAUUGAAAUAGGAUAAUCUCUAAAGGCCCUUCCAGCUCCAAAAUUACGUUAUCUAAGGAGGACAAGCCUGAUGCUGUGGUUCAGAGGGAAAUCUGAGGCCCCCUGCAGGCCUGCUGUGUGUAUGCAGGAGAUUGGAAGAGGCACCAGGACUGGGACCAGGAGGCUGGAACCAGCCAGCCGGCCAACAAAAAAAUGCGACUUGAUAAGCUUCAUCAGACCUCCUCCCAGCCAGAAGAGCCAAGCAUUGUUGGAGCCACCAGUAUCUCUGGCCCAGAGUAAGCAAUAGAUCUCCCUGCUUCCAGUCAUUCUCUACACAGCAGCUAAAUGGUACUUCUUCAAAACAAACUCCUUACGAUGACCCAUGAGGCCCUACCGACCAGGUCUUCCAACCUCUCUCCUCUUCCCCAUUGCUUCUUUGCUCAUGCUGCUCCAGGCAAGCUGGCCACCUUUCUGUCUGCAAAUACACCAGGCUUAUUCCUGUUAGAUUAUUUGUAUUUACUAUUACCUUCAACUAGAGCACUUUGCCCUGUUAAAAAAAAACAGACCCAACAUAGGGUCACUUCUAGGUAAAGUCACCAACCUGAGCCUUACUGCCCAACCUAACUGUAGUUUCAGCCUCUCCCAGGAGUGGAAUUUUAAGUCAAUCAGUUUGGAACUUCCAGUGAGGUAAACUGCAUUAAGACCUGCUGCUCCUCCUAAGGGAAGGUGACUUUACUGGAAACAAUCCCUAAUCUAGUUUGCUAGUAACUGUUUGCCCCACCUUC